GGUGGGGAUGACGUCAAGUCAUCAUGGCCCUUACGACCAGGGCUACACACGUGCUACAAUGGCGCAUACAAAGAGAAGCGACCUCGCGAGAGCAAGCGGACCUCAUAAAGUGCGUCAUAGUCCGGAUUGGAGUCUGCAACUCGACUCCAUGAAGUCGGAAUCGCUAGUAAUCGUGGAUCAGAAUGCCACGGUGAAUACGUUCCCGGGCCUUGUACACACCGCCCGUCACACCAUGGGAGUGGGUUGCAAAAGAAGUAGGUAGCUUAACCUUCGGGAGGGCGCUUACCACUUUGUGAUUCAUGACUGGGGUGAAGUCGUAACAAGGUAACCGUAGGGGAACCUGCGGUUGGAUCACCUCCUUACCUUAAAGAAGC
rnacentral:rRNA from 1 species